rnacentral:rRNA from 2 species
UGAGCUUGAUCCUGGCUCAGAUUGAACGCUGGCGGCAGGCCUAACACAUGCAAGUCGAGCGGUAGAGAGAAGCUUGCUUCUCUUGAGAGCGGCGGACGGGUGAGUAAUGCCUAGGAAUCUGCCUGGUAGUGGGGGAUAACGUUCGGAAACGGACGCUAAUACCGCAUACGUCCUACGGGAGAAAGCAGGGGACCUUCGGGCCUUGCGCUAUCAGAUGAGCCUAGGUCGGAUUAGCUAGUUGGUGGGGUAAUGGCUCACCAAGGCGACGAUCCGUAACUGGUCUGAGAGGAUGAUCAGUCACACUGGAACUGAGACACGGUCCAGACUCCUACGGGAGGCAGCAGUGGGGAAUAUUGGACAAUGGGCGAAAGCCUGAUCCAGCCAUGCCGCGUGUGUGAAGAAGGUCUUCGGAUUGUAAAGCACUUUAAGUUGGGAGGAAGGGCAGUUACCUAAUACGUGAUUGUUUUGACGUACCGACAG